rnacentral:misc_RNA from 1 species
GAUGAAGAACGUAGCGAAAUGCGAUAAGUAAUGCGAAUUGCAGAAUUUCCGUGAGUCAUCGAAUCUUUGAACGCACAUUGCGCCCGCCAGUAUUCUGGCGGGCAUGCCUGUCCGAGCGUCAUUUCAACCCUCGAACCCCUCCGGGGGGUCGGCGUUGGGGAUCGGCACUUACCUGCCGGCCCCGAAAUACAGUGGCGGUCUCGCCGCAGCCUCUCCUGCGCAGUAGUUUGCACACUCGCACCGGGAGCGCGGCGCGUCCACGGCCGUAAAACAACCCAAACUUCUGAAAUGUUGACCUCGGAUCAGGUAGGAAUACCCGCUGAACUUAAGCAUAUCAAUAAGCGGAGGA